AGCACGUUUCACAUCUCUCUUGUUUCCUAAAUUUUUCCAGGGCUUACUUUCCAGUUAGAAACACCUUGUGUUAUAAAUGUCUCUUCUUGUAUCUAAAAUUUUUGGUAAAACAAUUGGCACAAACAACAGAAUGCUCGAUAGUUUUACCAUUGAAAAUAUGAAUACGAAUAAUUUUUAAAAUUUAGUAGUAUACUUUAAAAUUUCAUACGUUGAGAAAAUGUAGAAAUUGUGGCAGAGGUUGAUAGUAGUCCUCCAAUGGAUAUUUUCUCCUUUCUUUGUAAUUCAACCUUGCCCUUGUUGGGUUCUUUUUCGUUUCUGCCAGCUAGAACAUCAAUAAGAUGCUGGAGUUUAAUCAACCACAGCAGACUGUGAGGUGGAAGCCACUUGGUGAUUGUGAGCCAGCACCAAGAUCGAAGGCAUUUGGAUCCCUGGUGAUCACAGACCCAGCAUGUCAUCUCUGCAAAGGUCUUUGAGCAGGAGCCCAAGGAAGGAAAAAUAAGGACACACAUUUUUGGCUGGAUUAGUAACAUCUUUCCUUUGUCUUCAUCCACCAGUGUUCUUGCUUCCCAGAAAGUGUGGAAUAUUGGCCUUCCUUUUCAGAUUCAUGUGAAAGCUUGGAGAAAAGAACACAGACUAAAAGGAAUAUAAAUCCAAAAGAAUGAGUGAAAUGGGAAUACACAAGGCAUGAGCAAUAAGACUGUUCUCUCAGAAACAAUGAGAAUAACUGCUCUACAUCUUACAAACCAGAAACUUACACGUUGUAUCUCAUUAAAUUUUAUUUUGAAUAUUGAGAACA
rnacentral:lncRNA from 1 species